UGCUAGACAAACUGAAUGGAGCCAUUUCAUUUAUUCAUUUAUUUACAUUUUAAAACAAGUCUCCAUCUACUUCAGCCUUCUUUGAGCCUUCAUGCACCUGAAAGUAUCAGCUGAUUACUGCUGAGUAUGAUACAUGCAGGACCUCCCCCUCCAGUCAUGUGAUCAUGGGAGCAUUAGACUUUGUGUUUCCUCUGUGUUGAACACUUUGACUCCAUCCUUCAUCUGGACGGAGGCUCAUCAUGCUGAUCUCACUCAUUUAUCUCUCACUUCUUUUACACUCAGGACUCACUGUUGUAGUUCUUCAGUCUGGAGAUCAGAUAUCUGACCCUGGACUCACAGUGAAGCUGGAGUGCAGCAUGGGUCCAGGGUUCAACAUGAUGAGCUACACCAUGUUCUGGUACCGACAACACCACUACGGAGCUCCAGUGGAAUAUCUCAUCAGAGAGUACGACUUACCUGCUGGACACUUCCAGUCCUCUACCGACAAAUCUAAAAACAGCUUCACUCUUGAAAUAAGUGAGCUGCUUCUCAAUGACAGCAGCACCUACUACUGUGCUGCCAGUCACAGUGAUGCACACAGAGCAGACCGUCAUACAAAUAACAAGACUGACUGUCACAGAUGGCACACAGGCAGGAAGGAGCUGUGGCUCCACUGGUUUGGCUCUUAACAAACAGUGAGGAGAGAAUAUAAAAGAGGCUUCAUGUUGGAGACAAGAAAUGAAAUAAAACUCAAAUUCUGGUUAAAUUCACCAGAUACAGUUUCAGUUUUCACAGCUUUGGUUGUCGUUUCUCACGUUCGUUAAGUGCAAAUAAGCAGAAUCAGUCAGAUCAGCUGUGUGCAGAGGAAGAAGGUGGGGAAGAGGAGGUGUGACGUAGAAGGGAAGGUAGUCAUCGCUCAUUCGUAAUGAGUCUGUCAGAGCAGAGGACCAUGUGAAUGCUCCACCUCUGAUACCAGAUUUCCAUAUAUGCUGUAACUGUAAAUACGAUGUGGCUUUAACUUCAGUUUCCAGGAUGUCUCCAGCUUUAUACACGUGUGGAAUUUUACUGCUCGUGCUCACAAGAAAAGUGUCGAGUGUUGAAUUUAAACAGCCCUCUUCUAAAGUUGUGGUUGAAGGGACGAAGGAGCUCGACAUUACCUGCAGUCAUGAUGACAGCAACCUCGAAACGAUGCUGUGGUACCAACACCAGCAGAGCAGUCAGACUAUGAGCCUUAUUGGAUACACAGUCUACGUGAGUGACCCGACCUAUGAGGACCAGUUUAAGGAGUCCAGAUUCCAGAUUAAAAGAGAAGACACACUGAAAGGAUCUCUGAUCAUUCAUGAAGUGAAAGCAUCAGACUCAGCUGUGUAUUUCUGCGCUGCCAGCACACAGUGAUGUGGUUUAAUAGCACCGCUUGU